UUUCCACUUCCUGUUAUAAAUCGAAAGUAGACAGCAUGGCGGCGGUUUGCGUGUUGUAGAGGACCAAUCUAGGACCCCCGAUGUCUCACAAUAGUAAAUACUAUAGAAAAAAAACUAAAGAAAGACCACUCCAGCCGGAAAAUUGACACGCUAUUUCGGAAGCUGUCCCAGAAUGAAAAUAUAUUCACUGAAGUUAGUCAGUCUGGCCCUACUAUUAGUUCAGUCCUAGAAGUAGAUGUCAGCUCACCGUGUGAAGUUAGUCUGGCCCUACUGUCAGUUCAGUCCUAGAAGUAGAUGUCAGCUCACCGAGUGAAGUUAGUCAGUCCAGCCCUACUGUCGGUUCAGUCCUAGAAUUAGAUUUCAGCUCACCUACAGCCUAUCAAGAUGUUACAGUUGAAUUAAGUGAAGCUACUGGUCCGCGCAGAGUAUCAAAUUUUGAUUCUAGUGUGGAACAAAACAUUUCAGUUACCAUUUCUGGUUCUGAUGUGACACAAAGCAGUGACACUCACGAACAACAAACUAAAGUAAGUCCUACAUGUAGUACUCAACAAUCAGAGGAGGAAUUUAAAACCAAAUCUUGCCGACUUUCCAGCAUACUUACAACAAACUAUGAAAGACAGUAUGAAUGGCUUUUCUUUAGUGCAUCCAAGAAUGGAUAUUGUUGUUAAGUAUUGUGAAAUGUGGGGGGGAUCCCUUGUCAACAUCUCCCUUUAUUCUUGGAACAACUCUUGGAAGCCAUCCAAAUAAAAAAUUACGAACACAUGAAUCUUCAAAUUUGCAUGCAGAGUCUCUUCGUAAAUGUUUGAAGAUGAAAACACCAGAAGUACAACCGACUGUCCUUCAACAACUACUACGAAGACCCGAAUGUACGGAGAUGAACAGAACAUAUAUGUCUACGCUCAUUAAUUCUGCCUUUUUGUAAUUAAAAAACAGUGGGCAAUAGAUAGCAUAGGAGAUAUUUUUAAUUUCUUACACGAUCAGGAAUGCCCAACUGUUUUGAAUUUAUGGCAAAUCACCCAUCAGUGACUUACACCUCUUCAACUUCUGUCAAAAACAUUGUUCUUUCUAUUAACGCUUGUCUUGAGAAAUCACUCCUGACAACAAUAAGAAAUUCACCUUAUAUAGGUUUACUAGCAGAUGAGUCCACAGAUGAGGCCAACAGAACCAAGUUUGCAAUACUGAUAAGAUGUCUAGAUACAGAUAAAACCAUAAAAGAUCAUUUUUUAGGGAUGAUCAAUGUGAAGAAAACUGAUGCAGCAACUCUUGUGAGUAAAAUUGAGAGAUUUUUUAUUUCUAAAGAGAUAGCUAUAUCAAAGAUUCUGUUUGUUGGAUUUGAUGGGUGUAACACCAUGAGUGGUGAAAAUACUGGUCUCCAGCGCCGAUUUAGACAUGUGGUGCCUCACAGUUUGUACAUCAAUUGUAGAAGCCAUCGUCUAGCACUGUGUGUCAAACACUUGAUGAAAUAUUUUCCUGUACUAGAGGAUGUAGAUCUAGAUCUUCUGGCCAUCUAUAAGCUGUUUGACAAUUCACCUCAAAAGUUUGCUGUUUUUAAAGAUGUACAAGCUACAUUGUAGUUAUGCAGAGAAAGAGUUGGUCUUAAGACGAGCUGCUGCUACGAGAUGGUUAUCACAUGGGGAUGCAUGCAAAAGAGUCAUCCAAAGAUAUGUUCUGAUAAUUGACACACUUGAUGAACUGUUGGGUCGAACAAGAGAACCUGAAAUAUUAAGAGUC